CCUACGGGAGGCAGCAGUGGGGGAUAUUGCACAAUGGGGGAAACCCUGAUGCAGCGACGCCGCGUGAGUGAAGAAGUAUUUCGGUAUGUAAAGCUCUAUCAGCAGGGAAGAAAAUGACAGUACCUGACCCAGAAGCCCCGGCUAACUACGGGCCAGUAGCCGCGUUAAUACGUAGGGGGCACGCGUUAUCCGGAUUUACUGGGUGUAAAGGGAGCGUAGACGGUUAUGUAAGUCUGGAGUGAAAGCCCGGGGCCCAACCCCGGGACGGCUUUGGAAACUGUGUAACUUGAGUACAGGAGGGGCAGGCGGAAUUCCUGGUGUAGCGGUGAAAUGCGUAGAUAUCAGGAGGAACACCGGCGGCGAAGGCGGCCUGCUGGACUGAAACUGACGUUGAGGCUCGAAAGCGUGGGGAGCAAACAGGAUUAGAUACCCGAGUAGUC
rnacentral:rRNA from 1 species